CGUUUCCUGUUCUGAAAAAGCUACCUCUUCAGCACACUUCUCAUCUCUCCCAGAUGAGACUGUGCUGCCCACCCCUCAUCACUAGGUGAAGAUUUAAGAACUUUCUGGAUCUUACCAAGAGGGUGGCAGACGAGCUGCAGAUUCCCUUACAGGAGGUGGCAGAUACACAUCACAAGGUGGUGGAAAUUCUGCACACUACCUUCUCAUCUAGAACUGUCCUCCCAAUUAAUGAGCUGAUUCUAUAUCCUACCAAAAUCAUCUGGCAGAACCAGCCUCCAUUGCACCAACCAGCAACAGAGUGUAAACAAAAACAACACGACAUCUCUACCCAAAGAGGAAGACUUUGUUUUCAACAUCCGCAACCCAACUCCAUCAUAGUGGAUGUGGUUAAUGCAUGAAGCAAGCAACGUAAUGCCAAGUCAACUCCAUUUGAUCAGGCUUCGCAGGAUGGCGUAUUCAUCAACAACAUUACUGUUUAGAGUCAUAAAUUACCAAACUGUCAUGGCCAAAACAAUUUUGUUAAUCUUGGGAAACCCAAGAUGUUUCUGAAACAUUACUGGAAACACAAAAAGAACAGAUUCAGACCAUUCUUAGAGAAGGUCAGUUAAUAGCUAGACUGGUCCGAGAGACACCACUGGAUGUAGCUGUUACAGCUGCCUGCCCAGUCUCCAUGACAGUGGUACUGAGGUGGGUUGUUUUUUUGUUUUUUUUUUGUUUUUGUUCGCUACACCUCUCUAGAUUUCUCAAAGAGCUACAGACUUCCAACUUGAAGGGCCAAACUCUUUGCGGAGAAGACAGAUUUUCUCUCCACAUCCUGAAGGGUUCUCGGACCGCACUACACUCCUUAGGAAUCUACACUGUGGAACAGAAGAGAAGAUAUACCUCUCAACCACACCACAGAUCACAAUCUUCUCAAUACUCACCGUCUCUGUGCUGUUAUGAGCCACAGUGUAAGAGGCUCAGGGCUCAAAAGCGAAAACAGUCUGCACCCCAGUCCAUGACUUCUCAAACUGCCUCUUAUAAGCACUUUGAUGAGCUGGUCGGGGGUCUGAACAAUGAUACCUUACAGCAUCAGCUGCCAUCUAUACACCUGUCACGCCACUCAGAAGUCACCUUCCUUUACUUCUCAGCAGUUAGGACCAGCUCUAGAGUAAAGAGAGUGAUUUCUAGCCCUGAACCUACAGGGUGCCUACUUCCAUAUCUCAAUACAACCAUCGUACAGGAGAUUUUCUACUGCUUAUCUUCGGGGCAGGAUCAUUAUAGGUACAGACUGCUCCACACAGGGUAGUCUUCAAGGUUCACUUCAUUGUAGUGGCAUACUAACCCCGGUACAGUGACUGGACUUCAUCAGCACCAACCUGAUGCAGUACAAGCGUGAGCGCUCCUCUCACUACCCACAUUCAC